AGUGAACGCUGGCGGUAGGCCUAACACAUGCAAGUCGAACGGCAGCACAGUAAGAGCUUGCUCUUACGGGUGGCGAGUGGCGGACGGGUGAGGAAUACAUCGGAACCUACUUUUUCGUGGGGGAUAACGUAGGGAAACUUACGCUAAUACCGCAUACGACCUACGGGUGAAAGCAGGGGAUCUUCGGUCCUUGCGCGGUUGAAUGAGCCGAUGUCGGAUUAGCUAGUUGGCGGGGUAAAGGCCCACCAAGGCGACGAUCCGUAGCUGGUCUGAGAGGAUGAUCAGCCACACUGGAACUGAGACACGGUCCAGACUCCUACGGGAGGCAGCAGUGGGGAAUAUUGGACAAUGGGCGCAAGCCUGAUCCAGCCAUACCGCGUGGGUGAAGAAGGCCAUCGGGUUGUAAAGCCCUUUUGUUGGGAAAGAAAAGCAGCAGGUUAAUACCCAGCUGCUCUGACGGUACCCAAAGAAUAAGCACCGGCUAACUUCGUA
rnacentral:rRNA from 1 species